ensembl:lncRNA
GUGGAGAUUUCCAGGAGUUGGGCUACUGCCCACUUUUUGGUCUUUUGGUGGUACCUUGGAACUGUCAUGGUGCCUCUGAGUAUAUCAUUUAGCUUACUGAUAGAAGAUCAAGGUCUAAUCAAAGUUGAAUUGUCUGCCAUCUGGGACCCAUUGAUUCUAAUUGGUUUAUAUUAUAUCUCUGGGCUAUGUCGUUCUUUCAGAAGUUGUGCCCUGCUACCUUCCCUCCUGUUUCAAAAGCAUCUUUACAUUUGCCUGCUGCGAAGGAGAAUAUACAGGGGAUAUAGCUCAAAGUCCACAGUCCAGCCCAAGAUGGAGUCCGGCUUUCAAGAUGGAACCUGUUCUGUCUGUUUCCUCCUUCAAAACCACAGGAUGCGGCUGGGCUCCAAGGACGGAAGUUGAAUUCCCUGGAGGAUGCCAUAUCAUCCCCUGGGACUCUGGGACCAAAGAAGACCCCCUAAGAGUUGAGGCUGAAGAAGAGACAGUGCUCUGGAAUAGAUAAUAUUGUCAUUUUUUAUGUAAGCAAUUUAUUUUUCAUUCAUUCUG